rnacentral:rRNA from 1 species
GGGACAGCGGCAAACGGGGUAGUAACGGGUAGGUGACGUACCCUCGGGUCGGGGAUAGCCACGGGAAACUGUGGGUAAUACCCGAUAAUCUCCGGAGGCGUGAUAGCUUCUGGAGCAAAGGUGUGAUUCCACCGGAGGAGCGGCCUGCUUCGUAUUAGCUGGUUGGUGAGGUAACGGCUCACCAAGGCAACGAUGCGUAAGGGGUGUGAGAGCAUGACCCCCACCACUGGGACUGAGAUACUGCCCAGACACCUACGGGUGGCUGCAGUCGAGAAUCUUCGGCAAUGGGCGCAAGCCUGACCGAGCGACGCCGCGUGUGGGAUGAAGGCCCUUGGGUUGUAAACCACUGUCAGAGGGGAUGAAGUUCAUGAGGGUAAUCUCUCAUGAUUGACAUAGCCUCAGAGGAAGCACGGGCUAAGUUCGUGCCAGCAGCCGCGGUAAUACGAACUGUGCGAACGUUAUUCGGAAUCACUGGGCUUACAGGGUGCGUAUGCUGCUUGUUAAGUAAGGUGUGAAAGCCCCCGGCUCAACCGGGGAAUUGCGCCCUAAACUGGCGAGCUGGACUGAGAUA